ACCGUUCUAAUGCUAUAACGGAGAAACAUGUUAAUGAAACUGGCACUGGUGCUGAGAGUAAACUGAUUGUUUUGGAAUGUUGGCUUCCACCUGUUCCAGAUAUCCAGCUACACACGGGCGCAUCACAGCCGUAUGACAGGUGAUCUCAGCCAGGGGCUGUCCUACUACAUUUGGUUUGUUCUGGCUCGAGCAGACUGAGACCACAUAUCCAGCUUUGUUCCGGCUAAAGAUACAGCUUGCGGUGUAUAGCCACAGUCGUCGGCCGCUCCAUUCAAUAAGAAGCAUCACGUUCCAGCCUACGGCGAGUUUCCUAAUGCGGUUUAAGAGUGGAUAACUGUUGCCAAAGACUUUGAAGAACAAUGGAAUCUCCCUAAUUAUGGUGGAGCCAUCGAUGGGAAACAUUCACAUCAUGCCUGAUGCAGAAAAACGUUAUAGAGAACUACAGCACCUAUGAGAGCUGCAGUGGAGAUGUCUAUAGGAUGUCACUCAACAACAACAACUAUGUCAACAAGAAAAUGUAGACAUCACCUCUGUGAUCAUCACAUAUAAAUGGUUGAUAUAAUCAAUUAAUUUCAAGAAUGUAAAUGGUAUUCGUUAUGUCUCUAGGAGUCCAAAGUCUUUCAAUAAACAUAUGAGGAUAAGCGUAUAA